rnacentral:rRNA from 1 species
CUCUACGGCCAUGCCACCCUGAACAAGCCCAAUCUCGUCUGAUCUCGGAAGCUAAGCAGGGUCAGGCCUGGUUAGUACUUGGAUGGGAGGGAGGCCACCUAGGAAGACCAGGUGCUGUAGGCA